UUCCAAUAAAACUUGUCCUCAAAAUUUUCCAUAUAAAAAAAUAAAUAAACAUUGUUUCAAUAGACCAAAUCGAAAGUGAGACCAGAAGAUCCUAUAAUCUGGUCUCAUACCCUUUGAACCAUUGAACCAAAACCAAACCAGAUCGAACCGGCUGCUAGGCCUAACAAAGACUUCAAAUUGAGAGCCUCCCAAGAUGCCGAAUCAAUGCUAAAAUGUGUUUUGAGAGCGAAUUUAUAGCAGACAAUAUAGACGACUAAACAGCGUCCUAUGCUGCUAAGAAUAAAAUCGAAAGACAUCCAAAUUGACCAUUGAAAACUUCAAUGCCAACAGUAGAAGAAAUGAAAGCUGUGCAGCCUUUGAACACAAAUGAAGAAAACCAUCUCAAGAACAGGAAGACUGAGACUUUGGUAAAAUGAGUCAUUUUUCAACUGUCAAUUGUGCAACAUAAAUAAAGCCAUUCAUAUCCUCGCAAUCCCAUUCAACUCUAUGUGCUAACAACAGAACCAUAAACAACCCCCUAUAGGAAACAAAGAUACCAGGCCAAGAUGCAAGGACAAAAUGAUCGACAUAAAAGCCACAAGCACCUUCAAAAUAUUUCACUGUCUAUAUAUGUAUAUAUAAAAUAUCUAUCAGCAGUUGAUUAGUCAAGGAAGCGUUAAGCAUGAUUCAGUGCAAUGGAGAACGAGGGAUGCGAGGCCGAACAGGUGUCUUUGAUGGGCUCACCCUUAUUGGCAGAGAUCCCAGGACCGCACCACUACAGUUAAGUGCCAAAAUUGCGCUUUCAGCCUGCAAGAAAUAGAAAAACAGCAUAAAAAACCAUUCUUAUGCAUAGCACCCAACUGCACCCGUGUCCACAAAAAUCAAACCCACACUACAAUAACAAGUCCACUAGAUGGAUUACAAUUUGGUUAUCCAACAGUACUUCCCAACAUAACAUAUAAAUUAAUGGCAAUCAUAUUGGUAUUUAGAUGAUUGCAGUGUAAGUUAGGUUUCACACAGAUAUUCGUGCUCCCCAUCUAUGGCAUCAUUAUAUACCCGGAUUAGCCAACAAGUGUUUUAUAUAUGCAGCUAUUCCAUUAGAAUGCAAUGUUAAUGAAAGUGACCCAAAAAGUAAACCAAACUCUCAAACCUUUAUCAGAACAUCAGCUUCAGAAAAAUAUAAUUAUAUUAAUGGUGACUUGGGAGAUUAUUAAUGGAAAAGGCCACAAGGAACCAACAUCAAGAAAUGUAAUAUUACCUCGAUAACAUAAAAUGAAGAGAAACAAAUCCGGCAGAAAGAAGAAUCAAGAAAAACAACUUCAAAAGAAUGAAGCUGGAUAUUUCCAAUUUUAAUGGUUUUCAAGCAACCGAAGAAGCUCGAAGAGGCAACAUGUCAUAGCCAUGAAAAACCAUCAAAGAAAAGAGUAAUUUUCUAUAAACAACUAUAGGAAAGUAAUAAUUAUAGAUACUAUUCCUAAUUCCUAUACCUAGUUAUCUGUCCAUCAUCCCAUUUCCUGCUGACAUUCUAGUUAUAGAGAGAGAGAACUCUCUGUUCUUAGCUAUAAAUAGUAGUAUGAUCAGACAAAAAAAAGUCUACCAAGACAAUUGCAACCCCCCAUAAAAUCUAAACUUGAUAUCAUGGCCGUAGUUGCAUCCCCAGACAUUGCCACCAAGCAAAUUUCUCCAUUUUCAUAUGGAAGAGACUAAAACUAUUUACCCUUUAGUAGAUGUUAAUGGUGCACUUCAAUUGUGCAACCUUAACAUUGAGAUUUUUAUAAUAAAAUAUACCAAAGGUGGCAAGAAAAGUAGAAAUUCUCUUAAAACAAUUGGAAAUUUACAUGUUAUUGCAAAGCCUUUUACAGCAGUUGAGAGAACUAUCCUCUAGGGUUGGAUACACACUUGACACUUGUGAGGUGAACUUUAUAUCUCAUGAUAGAAAUUUGAUCACUCAUUUGUUUUCUUAAAUAAUCUAGAAAGUAAAAGGUAGACAAUCUUUUGUCACUUUUACGGAUGACUACUCAAAAUAUAUACCAUAAGAAACAAGAUGGCUAAGGAACAAUUUAGUGCAGAUAAAGGAGAAGCCUGAAUGAAGCUAAAAUUAUACCAUCCACAUCAUCCAUUCAGAAAAAGAAGGAAAAUACACCGUCAGAGUUUUCCAGCAUUGUGAAGAUGAAGGACCAGGAAAACAAUCAACAGUUUCCUAUACUCAGUGAUGGAGAAAUUGAACUCUGAUUAAAAAAAUGAGAGUUCUGUGCCAAGUGCCACUAGCUAAGGCCUUACGUGAAUUUUUCUAGGCAAUCACUCUUAUGUCUAUUUGUCACACUGGUUCCCAUAAGAAAGUGAGCACUCCUAUCAAGUUAUCAAAAGGCUAAAUAACAAAAAUCAGUUUAUUACAGAGUUUGGGGCAGCUUAUCUCAGAUACAACUAGCAGAUCAACAGAUUUGAUGGUCCCAAAUUUUGGUUGAUCACCAGCCAGAAAGAGGCACAGAUCUAUAGACUUAGGCUCCUGCACCAUAUAUGAUUAUGGAACCUUUCCGGACAAGUAUCCACACUCCCCCAUCCCCCGCUGUUCCCUCUCUUUUUCACUCUUCCCCCUCCACUCCCUGAAACUCUUACAUCAGCCAUGAAUUUCAAAGCAAUUAGCUAUCAUUGCAUACUUAAACAAGAUCCAAAUCAACCUGAAUUGCCAUUUCAGCUUUGAAAGUAAACUCCAGUCUCCAUCCCCAGUUUCCAUAUAGACAGCCAAUCAAAUAUAUGGCAUUGGCAUUGUGAACCUCUACAACUCGAAUAACUAAAUUUGUUUAUGGAGUUCAGAAUUUAAUAAGAAAUAAAUAUUGAAACUAAUAUAGUGGACAGUUAAGUACUUUCCUAGAAUGAAAUAAUUCACCCAAGUAACUCCAUAUACCACAUCCAAGUUUCAACUGUUCACGUCCAUGUAAGCAUCAUUAUUCAUCCAAAAUGUCCUGAAGUGAAAUUAUGGAAAACCAUAAAGAUACCAAAUCCUAUAAUUCAGAUAUGAAGCCACAAGGAAUUCCUUUGCAAAAGAGUGGAUACAUCACAUCCAACGUAGCAAAAACAAAAUUUCAUUUAUGCUUGAACAAAGUGCAUUCCCACAAUCUAUAAACAAAUGGAAUAGUAACAUGCCAGAAGAAAUAUAUAAUUGCCUUCACAUAACUCAGAGAACCAAAGAAAGGAACUCACUCAGAGCUACUGAACUUUUAUUGGUGAAAUUUAAUUGCACUUUCUCCAAAAGCGAUAUAAUAAUAGCACUGUAAACAGAUUAUAAGCCUUUCGAUUCAGGCUAUUUCAACAAAAUGCAUCAGAAUUUCCCAAAAACAUUAAGAGGUUAUAUAUAAACAUAUGCAACCUCCAACAAACUAGAGAUAAUCUCCUUUUCUUCUGCCACCAGUAGCUCUACUCAUUGCAACGUAGGAAAAACAUUUA
rnacentral:misc_RNA from 1 species